CAAAUUGAGAGUUUGAUCCUGGCUCAGGACGAACGCUGGCGGCGUGCCUAAUACAUGCAAGUCGAGCGAGCUGAAUUCAAAGAUUCCUUCGGGAUGAUUUGUUGGACGCUAGCGGCGGAUGGGUGAGUAACACGUGGGCAAUCUGCCCUAAAGACUGGGAUACCACUUGGAAACAGGUGCUAAUACCGGAUAACAACAUGAAUCGCAUGAUUCAAGUUUGAAAGGCGGCGCAAGCUGUCACUUUAGGAUGAGCCCGCGGCGCAUUAGCUAGUUGGUGGGGUAAAGGCCUACCAAGGCAAUGAUGCGUAGCCGAGUUGAGAGACUGAUCGGCCACAUUGGGACUGAGACACGGCCCAAACUCCUACGGGAGGCAGCAGUAGGGAAUCUUCCACAAUGGACGCAAGUCUGAUGGAGCAACGCCGCGUGAGUGAAGAAGGUCUUCGGAUCGUAAAGCUCUGUUGUUGGUGAAGAAGGAUAGAGGCAGUAACUGGUCUUUAUUUGACGGUAAUCAACCAGAAAGUCACGGCUAACUACGUGCCAGCAGCCGCGGUAAUACGUAGGUGGCAAGCGUUGUCCGGAUUUAUUGGGCGUAAAGCGAGCGCAGGCGGAAUGAUAAGUCUGAUGUGAAAGCCCACGGCUCAACCGUGGAACUGCAUCGGAAACUGUCAUUCUUGAGUGCAGAAGAGGAGAGUGGAACUCCAUGUGUAGCGGUGGAAUGCGUAGAUAUGGAAGAACACCAGUGGCGAAGGCGGCUCUCUGGUCUGCAACUGACGCUGAGGCUCGAAAGCCAUGGGUAGCGAACAGGAUUAGAUACCCUGGUAGUCCAUGCCGUAAACGAUGAGCGCUAGGUGUUGGGGACUUUCCGGUCCUCAGUGCCGCAGCAAACGCAUUAAGCGCUCCGCCUGGGGAAGUACGACGCAAGGUUGAAACUCAAAGGAAUUGACGGGGGCCCGCACAAGCGGUGGAGCAUGUGGUUUAAUUCGAAGCAACGCGAAGAACCUUACCAGGUCUUGACAUCCUGCGCUACACCUAGAGAUAGGUGGUUCCCUUCGGGGACGCCAGAGACAGGUGGUGCAUGGCUGUCGUCAGCUCGUGUCGUGAGAUGUUGGGUUAAGUCCCGCAACGAGCGCAACCCUUGUCUUUAGUUGCCAUCAUUAAGUUGGGCACUCUAGAGAGACUGCCGGUGACAAACCGGAGGAAGGUGGGGAUGACGUCAAGUCAUCAUGCCCCUUAUGACCUGGGCUACACACGUGCUACAAUGGGCAGUACAACGAGAAGCGAACCCGCGAGGGUAAGCGGAUCUCUUAAAGCUGCUCUCAGUUCGGACUGCAGGCUGCAACUCGCCUGCCACGAAGCUGGAAUCGCUAGUAAUCGCGGAUCAGCACCCGCGGUGAAUACGUUCCCGGGCCUUGUACACACCGCCCGUCACACCAUGGAAGUCUGCAAUGCCCCAAAGUCCGGUGAGAUAACCUUUAUAGGAGUCAGCCGCCUAAGGCAGGGCAGAUGACUGGGGUGAAGUCGUAACAAGGUAGCCGUAGGAGAACCUGCGGCUGGAUCACCUCCUUUCUAAGGAA
rnacentral:rRNA from 1 species